rnacentral:snRNA from 1 species
GGUACCACUGUAUACAAAAACUGGAGCAAUACAAAGAAGAUUAGCAUGGCCCCCGUGCAAGGAUGACAUGCAAAUUCAUGAAGCGUUCCAUAUUAAA